rnacentral:rRNA from 1 species
AUUGAACGCUGGCGGCAUGCCUUACACAUGCAAGUCGAACGGCAGCACGGGAGCAAUCCUGGUGGCGAGUGGCGAACGGGUGAGUAAAGUAUCGGAACGUGCCCAGUCGUGGGGGAUAACGUAGCGAAAGUUACGCUAAUACCGCAUACGAUCUAUGGAUGAAAGCGGGGGAUCGCAAGACCUCGCGCGAUUGGAGCGGCCGAUAUCAGAUUAGGUAGUUGGUGGGGUAAAGGCUCACCAAGCCGACGAUCUGUAGCUGGUCUGAGAGGACGACCAGUCGCACUGGGACUGAGACACGGCCCAGACUCCUACGGGAGGCAGCAGUGGGGAAUUUUGGACAAUGGGCGCAAGCCUGAUCCAGCCAUGCCGCGUGCAGGAUGAAGGCCUUCGGGUUGUAAACUGCUUUUGUACGGAACGAAAAGGUUUGACUUAAUACGUUGGACUCAUGACGGUACCGUAAGAAUAAGCACCGGCUAACUACGUGCCAGCCGCCGCGGUAA